CCUACGGGAGGCAGCAGUCGAGAAUUGUUCACAAUGGGGGAAACCCUGAUGGUGCGACGCCGCGUGGGGGAAUGAAGGUCUUCGGAUUGUAAACCCCUGUCAUGUGGGAGCAAAUUAAAAAGAUAGUACCACAAGAGGAAGAGACGGCUAACUCUGUGCCAGCAGCCGCGGUAAUACAGAGGUCUCAAGCGUUGUUCGGAAUCACUGGGCGUAAAGCGUGCGUAGGCUGUUUCGUAAGUCGUGUGUGAAAGGCGCGGGCUCAACCCGCGGACGGCACAUGAUACUGCGAGACUAGAGUAAGGGAGGGGGAACCGGAAUUCUCGGUGUAGCAGUGAAAUGCGUAGAUAUCGAGAGGAACACUCGUGGCGAAGGCGGGUUCCUGGACAUUAACUGACGCUGAGGCACGAAGGCCAGGGGAGCGAAAGGGAUUAGAUACCCCUGUAGUC
rnacentral:rRNA from 1 species